GGGCCCGCACAAGCGGUGGAGCAUGUGGUUUAAUUCGAUGCAACGCGAAGAACCUUACCAGGGCUUGACAUACUACAAAUUCUUUUGAGAAAAAGAAGUGCCUUCGGGAAUGUAGAUACAGGUGGUGCAUGGCUGUCGUCAGCUCGUGUCGUGAGAUGUUGGGUUAAGUCCCGCAACGAGCGCAACCCUUAUUUUUAGUUACUAAUUCGUUAGGUUCUCUAGAAAGACUGCCGGUGACAAACCGGAGGAAGGUGAGGAUGACGUCAAGUCAGCAUGCCCCUUAUGUCCUGGGCUACACACGUGCUACAAUGGUUAAGACAAAGAGUCGCGAGCUCGCGAGAGUCAGCUAAUCUCAUAAACUUAGCCUAAGUUCAGAUUGUAGGCUGCAACUCGCCUGCAUG
rnacentral:rRNA from 1 species